AAGACUAUACUUUCAGGGAUCAUUUCUAUAGUUCGUUACUAGAGAAGUUUCUCUGAACGUGUAGAGCACCGAAAAGACCAU
ensembl:snoRNA U3 Small nucleolar RNA U3